AGAGUUUGAUCCUGGCUCAGGACGAACGCUGGCGGCGCGCCUAACACAUGCAAGUCGAACGAGAGAGAAGGAGCUUGCUUCUUCGAUCGAGUGGCGAACGGGUGAGUAACGCGUGAGGAACCUGCCUCAAAGAGGGGGACAACAGUUGGAAACGACUGCUAAUACCGCAUAAGCCCACGGGUCGGCAUCGACCAGAGGGAAAAGGAGCAAUCCGCUUUGAGAUGGCCUCGCGUCCGAUUAGCUAGUUGGUGAGGUAAUGGCCCACCAAGGCAACGAUCGGUAGCCGGACUGAGAGGUUGAACGGCCACAUUGGGACUGAGACACGGCCCAGACUCCUACGGGAGGCAGCAGUGGGGAAUAUUGCACAAUGGGGGAAACCCUGAUGCAGCGACGCCGCGUGGAGGAAGAAGGUCUUCGGAUUGUAAACUCCUGUUGUUGAGGAAGAUAAUGACGGUACUCAACAAGGAAGUGACGGCUAACUACGUGCCAGCAGCCGCGGUAAAACGUAGGUCACAAGCGUUGUCCGGAAUUACUGGGUGUAAAGGGAGCGCAGCGGGAAGACAAGUUGGAAGUGAAAUCCAUGGGCUCAACCCAAUGAACUGCUUUCAAAACUGUUUUUCUUGAGUAGUGCAGAGGUAGGCGGAAUUCCCGGUGUAGCGGUGGAAUGCGUAGAUAUCGGGAGGAACACCAGUGGCGAAAGCGGCCUACUGGGCACCAACUGACGCUGAGCUCGAAAGUGUGAGUAGCAACAGAUUAGAUACCCUGGUAGUCCACACCGUAACGAUGAUUACUAGUGUUGGAGAUUGACCCCUUCAGUGCGCAGUACACAUAGUAUCACCUGGGAGUACGACGCAAGGUUGAAACUCAAAGGAAUUGACGGGGGCCCGCACAAGCAGUGGAGUAUGUGGUUUAAUUCGACGCAACGCGAAGAACCUUACCAAGUCUUGACAUCCCUUGACGAUGCUGGAAACAGUAUUUCUCUUCGGAGCAAGGAGACAGGUGGUGCAUGGUUGUCGUCAGCUCGUGUCGUGAGAUGUUGGGUUAAGUCCCGCAACGAGCGCAACCCUUAUGGUCAGUUACUACGCAAGAGGACUCUGGCCAGACUGCCGUUGACAAAACGGAGGAAGGUGGGGAUGACGUCAAAUCAUCAUGCCCUUUAUGACUUGGGCUACACACGUACUACAAUGGCGUUAAACAAAGAGAAGCAAGACCGCGAGGUAGAGCAAAACUCAGAAACAACGUCCCAGUUCGGACUGCAGGCUGCAACUCGCCUGCACGAAGUCGGAAUUGCUAGUAAUCGUGGAUCAGCAUGCCACGGUGAAUACGUUCCCGGGCCUUGCACACACCGCCCGUC
rnacentral:rRNA from 1 species